UCCGAUAUGGUGUAGUGGCUAACAUUAUCGCCUCUCAUGUUUAACGCGAUAGCCCGGGGUUCGAUUCCCCGUGUCGGAA
rnacentral:tRNA from 1 species